UAAUGGUUGGACUUGUUAAUUUUGAGGGUCUAUUCCACCAAAAUGAUUCUGUGGUUCUAGGGUGUCACCUUUGCAGCUGGGGGUAAGACCAUCCUGCGCAUGGAUAAGCCAAGUUGAGCCAUCUCUGCUGGUCACCAAGCCCAGCCUCAGCUUCCCUGCCACCUUCCAGAUUAAGGGGAAUUUCACGCUGUGGUGGGUGCCCGUGGGUGCCAAGGCUGCAGGACCAGCUGUCACCCUUCAGCCAGGGCCGCCUCCCUCCCAGGGCGAUGCUGAGCGCGGGAGCUGGCGCCAGCUCUGGCCGAGCUCGGCUUUUCCCCGCGUGGCACAGCUUGCCGCCUGCUAUUUUAUGUCUACGGUUCAAGUUCGCAGCUGUUUUUAUAACGCUGUAAAAGAAGCUGCAAAUCAAAACCAUGUUCGUCUUCAUUUUGAGAGCCUUUGAAAGCAACUUCAAAGGCAGCAGAGCUCUCUUUGGGCCUCGCAGGAUGGGGCUGUGGCGAGGAGCUUUCAUCAUUCCCCAUCCUCUGCGUGGAGAGGAUGCCGGCAGGAGGAAAGGUGCUGUCGUGGGGAUGGAGAGGCUGAGACCGGGCAGGCUGCAACACGGCAGGGGAAAGGCAAAGCUCUCCUAAAGGAGUAACCCAAGCCACCAGGCGCAGCAGCCCAGCCAGAGGAGAAGACCCUCCCAGGAAGACAAGGCACACGGUGGUGAGAAGGGGAUGGGGCAGAACCUACUUCGUAGCAUGACCCGGCCGAAGACGGUGUGGUCCCGAUCCAGGGUGCUGCAGUUCCAGCGGUGGUGCCGGAAUUGGUGCUGGCAUUCCCGGAUCCACUCCUUGGCUCCCUCCCCGACUGACUGCAUGAUGUCGGGGUACCUCUGGCACAGCUGCCGCUGCUUGUUCACCAGCCCGGGGAUGUUAUCGCAGAUCACCCUCGCACCCAGCGCCCCAAUGUACCUGCGAGAGAGAACAAUGCUGUUACUUUGCUGCCCACAGAGGCAGCUGCCAGGAGCUGGGUGCGAGCUGCAGUGCUGUGGGAAUCGUUGUGCCACCCCGCGUGACACUGGACCUUGGCCAGCCCGCAAGGACCAACUUGUGCAGCAGCAAUGGAGACCGGGGAUUCCACAUUACAAAGGUCCAGUUAUCUGCCUUUGGUACCUUGUCGGAGUCCCCUCUCGGUGGUUCUUCUGCAGCCAGUGGGAUGCGAAUCCUGUGGGAAGGACUGAAAUGUCCAGGAGAUGCUGCAGCCCCAGGAGCUGGACCCAAACAAGCUCCCUGCCCUGCACUGGUCAGCGCUGCCCUGCCAUCCCCUCGGCUGGCGUGGGAGGGUUCGAUGUCAGCAUCUUGUAUCAAGAGUGACGUGGAAAUCACAGUCUGUUCUGCCUGCGAUGUGCAAAGAUCUUCAUCCGAAUGAGGGAGACCAGCAACUUCUUAACUUAUGAGAAGCUAUAGUACAAGUGCGCGGGGCAAUACCGCAGCCCGUUGGGAUCUGAGAGCUCCAGCGUGAUCCCGGGAUUGCAGCGGGUGGAUCAGGGGAGCCGCUCGCUGCUACCCCUUCGCAGGUUGACAAGAGGUCUCCCACCUCUGCCAUGUCUCUGCCGUCUGCAGGACAAGGAGGCCUGGCGGACAUACUGCCCUUGGCUCUAAGUUCCCCUUCUGUCAUCGCCCUGAAACUGUUGGUUGGCAGCUGGUGAAGACCAACCUGACCUGGGAGCUCCCUCUUCCCCAUGUGUCCCUGUCUGGUUGGUCCUUUCACACCCUGAAGGUGAGCAGGCAUUAGGCUUCAACGGGUAACCUCUCACUGCUGGCACUUCCCAAUAUGCCUAAUUAUUUAUUUGGAUCACAAACCUCAUUAUCCACUGAAGUACUUUUUGCAUUGCUGGAGCCCUCAGCUGUCCCCUCCCCUGCCCCCAGCUCAGCUCAUUCUGCUCUUUCCUUCCCACUCCUAUUGUCACAGAUCAGAGAGUGACUUCCCUGGCCUGAGAGAAACUGGGACUAGAAACUCGCACUUGGUUAUAAUCCAGUUAUUCUUCUGAAAACUGCAGUGACAGAGAGCUGGUGCUAGUAGGAUGCUGUCCUUUUGUCUGAGAGCCCAAAAGGAAUAUUGCAUUACAGCUUAUUCAUAAAGUGUUUGCACUGAAAAGGCUGAUAUUUAUAGGCUCGUGUGGAAGGUUGUGCAUUUAUUUUGAAGACCCAUCAUAGUGAUAGCUUGCUGGGUUCUCUGCUGUUGCCAUUUCAUGGGCUUUUCUCUGUAACCGCAUUAUUUUAAUCCAAAGAGAAGAGACUGAAUUCUCUGUGUCCUGCUCUGAUGGGAAAGGAAGGGGAGGAGGUGACAAGAGCCAAAUUCCUGCAUGUUCAUCUGGGUUGGGCUGUAACUGGCUCCAGGAUGAGGGCAAGAAGCAGUCAGUGCAGGCAGCGGUGUCAGCCCUGGGAGGGCGAUGGGUGUCUGUGGGGAGGGUUGCAAUUGAAUUUAGUUGUUGAAAUUGCAUCCCUGGGCCAGGUUUCGCAGAGCUUUGCACCCAGCAUGCCUAAUUUCUCUGUUGACUUCAUUGCUUAUUUGGAUGCUCUCUUGAACAGGACCUGACUGACAGCCCUGGGGUUGGGUCAGGCUCUCCUUUGCCUGUCCACGUUCAGCAGUGAGGGAGGCCGGGGCAGCCCUCGCUCCUCCAAUUGUGGCUCAACCAGGCAGAGACUCUCAUUUGAUCUUUCAUUCAAAUUAGCAACGUGCUCAGGAUGUCUGGGUGCUUCGUCCACAUGAGCUGCGGUCGGCCACUCAGGAGACACCCGCUCUGCUCCGGGUGCGGAAGGUGAUGGCUGCUCACACUGGGGCAGCCACUGCAGGGCCCAGUGUCUCCUCUUACACAGCACAGAGCUGCACCGAGGGGCAGAGGGACAGUCCAUGGCUGGUGCUAGCCCUGGGAGGAAAGCAGGAUUAAUUGAUGGAUUGCUGUGUGGACAUGCAGUUCUUGGCUUUGCAGCUGCGUGGUGUUGGUGACCCUUUGGACUCCAUUGCUAUCUGGGCAAACAUAAUGUGGGGACAGUCUCUCCUCCCAUGUGUGCCCACUGAUGCAAAAGAUAACCUGGAAAGCUUUGGGGUGGGUGACUCUGAAUUGGAACAGAAAGAGGUUUCAAAAUGUUUUGCAAAGACAGAACUUCAUCUCUGUUGCCAAGUGGCAGCUGAUAGCGAGGGGGUUGCUGCUGAGCUGCGGAUGCUGUUCGGACGAGUGCCCGACAGUGAUGACGAUUUACUGCUGUUGCUGUGAACCCGUGCUCAGUGCUCACCCGCUCCCGGGGCUCUCAGACACGGAGUUCACUUUCCCCUGGUUCUGCAGCCCAGGGUGAUGGGGAAUUUGGAAGGAGAAAGAGAAGGUGGAAUAAGCACGAAAGUGUAGAGAGCCCAUAACUCCAAACUAGGGCAGGAAACGCACCGCACAUCGCUCUAACCUUAUCAUCGGGGAUGGAUUUUAAGUGCUUCUUCAGUGACUCAUAGUCCCUGAAUGGGCUCGAAGGACUGUCCGCUUGAGAGGAAAGGCCAGAGAACUCCAGAUCAGAUAUCAGGUUAUUACAAAACCCGUACGCCGCCUCGUAUGAGGCAUCUGUCAGGACCGUGGCCGGGGCUGCUGGGCCCCACGGGGAGGGAAGAAACACGGUUUCUCAGGUGUGGUUUGGGAAGGGCAGGGGGUGGUGGAGGCUCAGGAGGAGGACGGGCAGCAUCCCUGCCUGCUCCUGGCAGCAUCCCUGCAUGCUCCUGGCAGCCCACACCGGGAGGUGCUGGAUGUUCCUGGGAGCUGUACGUGGGCAAAGGAUGGGACAGGAUGAAGCUUCUGUGUGGCCCCAAGGGCUCAGCAGGACACAGGCUGAGCUCAGUCCUGCUGUGAUGGUGAGGAGCAGUCACGAGCUUUGUCCACUCUGGAGCUGGUAGCAGCCCCAGUGAUGCUGUGGUUAUCAGUAACCCCCCUCCCGGAGCCUGCUGCACCCGUGCAUGGGCUCUCUGCAGCAUGAGGCACAUGUGUGGGAGCUGAUGGGCAAGCAAAGGGCUUGCAAAAGCCUUUCCAAAGGACUGGGAGGCUCAGCUUGCCUUUUGGAUCCAGUUCCCAUUUAGUGUGGGCAGCGCUGUCCCUCUGCGGAGCAGCGCUGGGAGUUCUGGCACACUCCACUGCAAGGCCAGGUGAUGCUUUCUUGAGCCUCCUCCUCUUCCAAGCAUCCAUCCUGGCUGUUCCAGGCUGUCUCCUGCCCAAGAUCUCUCUGGGGUGAACACGACCUACCCAGAGAGCUGCUCCACAAAGGCAGGUAGUGACCAAGAGAGCAGCCUGCGGCAGGGCUGCUCUGAGAUGUGAAACUACAGCUCCCUGCAGCACCUGACUACCCGCCCCAAAACCCCCACAAGAGAUGGAAUUGCCCUUUAUUCCCCUUCUAAACUGUUGUGAUCCCCAUUUGAUGGACAGUGGAGAUGGGUGGUAGGUGCAACGGGAAGCACUAAUGAUCAUUUGGAUGGUGCGAGCUGGUGUGCAUAGGUGUGCAUACACACGUGUAUGUUUUUUCAAAAUGCAUAUGGACUAAAACCUCUUUGGGAUGAGAGUUGUCUUAACUAAUGAAUAUCUCUUUGUUGCUGUGAGAGCGAGAUUCUUGGGGACAGGGAGAACAGGGGCCUCUUUCUCCUCUUGUUCAUGCCCAGUCCUGGCCAGUCUUGUUCCCCAGGUUUCACUGGGACCGCUCUCAUUGGCAUGGUGUGACUGCCCUACCCUGGGUGACAUGAGUUCAAAGGGACAGCGGUGGCACUUUUUGGUUCUCGCUCCUUCUGGGUGGUUCCCUUGUAUCCUGGCUCCCAGGUGAGGAUGGGGGCGAACAGAGACUGGCUGAAAUACCCACUACUGAUCGAAACUCGCUGUAAAAAAAGCCCUCUCUGUAUUGUGUACAUGAAAGAUGGUGGUAUGGUUCAGAGGUUAACUUUCAUCCUAAGCUCAGCUAGAAGCUGAAGAGUUUUAGCAUUAAAAAAAAAAUACCAGAAAAGUAUGAAAAAAGAGGACAAAUUCUGAUCUCAGUUACAUUGGUAUUAAUGGAGAGAAAUUUAAUGGAAGUCUGUAGAAGCUUCUGAUUUACUCUUGUGUGAGAUUGGCUAGAAAUAGCCCAAAGAAUCUCAUUGCUGCUGCCCGGAUUCAUCUGCACAGCAGAGAGCUAUUAAUGCUCUGUUUUCUUGCCUUUGGUCAAUACAUCUUGCGAGGCAGGAGGAAGCUGGAUUAUGUCUUCAUGUGUCCCCAUGUCAUGCUAUGCCGGAUAAUGAACUGUGGCUAAAUUGGAUCAGCUUUUCAGUCGCCAGGCUCUCUGAAAUCCAACAAGGAGUCAGGGCAGCAAGCUGUGCUUUCAGCCGCGGUGUGCCAAGAACAGAGCGUUUGCUCUGAUAACCCUUGUGCUGCUGUGUCGGGAACCAGCAUUAGGCAGCAAGAGCUAUUGUGGAGAUGGCAGGUUGGAGCAGGUGAAAAUCAUUGUUAACCUGGAAAUUGUGCAGCUCUGUUUUGCUCGGUGCUUCCCUGUGCCUUAAAAAUGUCUGGUCUGGUGCAAAUCUGCUGUUCAAGGAAACAGAGAUAUAAUGAGAGCAGCAUCUCACUGA